UACGUAGGGUGCAAGCGUUGUCCGGAAUUAUUGGGCGUAAAGAGCUCGUAGGCGGUUUGUCGCGUCUGCUGUGAAAACUCGGGGCUUAACUCCGGGCCUGCAGUGGGUACGGGCAGACUAGAGUGCGGUAGGGGAGACUGGAAUUCCUGGUGUAGCGGUGAAAUGCGUAGAUAUUGGGAGGAACACCGGUGGCGAAGGCGGUUCUCUGGGCAUUACCUGACGCUGAGGAGCGAAAGUGUGGGGAGCGAACAGG
rnacentral:rRNA from 1 species